AACGAACGCUGGCGGCAUGCCUAACACAUGCAAGUCGAACGAGACCUUCGGGUCUAGUGGCGCACGGGUGCGUAACGCGUGGGAACCUGCCCUUAGGUUCGGAAUAACUCCCCGAAAGGGGUGCUAAUACCGGAUAAUGUCUUCGGACCAAAGAUUUAUCGCCUUUGGAUGGGCCCGCGUUGGAUUAGCUAGUUGGUAGGGUAAAAGCCUACCAAGGCGACGAUCCAUAGCUGGUCUGGGAGGAUGAUCAGCCACACUGGGGCUGAGACACGGCCCAGACCGCGACGGGAGGCAGCAGUGGGGAAUAUUGUACGAGGGGCGAAAGCCUGAUACAGCAAUGCCGCGUGAGUGAUGAAGGCCUUAGGGUUGUAAAGCUCUUUUACCCGGGAUGAUAAUGACAGUACCGGGAGAAUAAGCUCCGGCUAACUCCGUG
rnacentral:rRNA from 1 species